GACAGAGGAGCCAAGCGUUGUCCGGAUUGACUGGGCGUAAAGCGCACGCAGGCGGGUGCGCGCGUGGGGUGUGAAAUCUGGCCGCUUAACGGCCAGGCGCCCAUCCCAUACGGCGCGCCUGGAGCCUUGCAGAGGGCGGUGGAAUUGCCGGUGUAGUGGUGAAAUGCGCAGAUAUCAGGAAGAACACCCGUGGCGAAGGCGGCUCUCUGGGACGGUACUGACGCUGAGACGCGAAAGCGUGGGGAGCGAACAGG
rnacentral:rRNA from 1 species